UGGCCCUACGGGACGCAGCAGUAGGGAAUUUUCGUCAAUGGGCGCAAGCCUGAACGAGCGAUGCCGCGUGAGUGAAGAAGGCCUUCGGGUCGUAAAGCUCUGUUGAGGGGGAAAAAAGGCAGCAUCAGGAAAUGGGUGCUGACUGAUGGUGCCCCGCAAGAAAGUCACGGCUAACUACGUGCCAGCAGCCGCGGUAAUACGUAGGUGGCGAGCGUUAUCCGGAAUGAUAGGGCGUAAAGGGUGGGCAGGCGGUCCUGCAGGUCUGGAGUGAAACGGA
rnacentral:rRNA from 1 species